rnacentral:lncRNA from 1 species
AAAUUGGAUCUUUAGUAUACUAUUUCCUAAUGUAAUACAACCUUCCUGAGUGGAUCCAAUAUAUCUUAUGCUACAAUUUGCUUACUUUUUGUUGAAGCCUUUUUUAAGCUUGGCUGUUUUGAAUCAUACUUCACAUUUUUAUGUGCUAGUUAUUUUUCUAGUAAACAUUGAUGUGAGUUUAUAACUAUGAAAGGAAAAUCAUACAUCCUUGCACCACCCCACUUUAAAUCAUCUCAGGGCUCUGCAGUGGUGUGUGUGUUAGUCUAUAGGAAAAGUUUCUAGAACAGUCUGAACUAGUGCCUAAUGUAACAUAAUUAAUUUUUCAUAUUUUAUGUGAGUCAGUAGUAUAAAAAGGAGCCAUUGUAAUUUUGGUAGUGUGAGUUUACAAGUAAUGAAUUGAUUCGCUUAUUGCUUUGAAUAUUUGAAGGUAUUGAAACAUUUCAUAAACUAAUCAUUUGCAGUCUUUGAAAGAUAAUUUACAACACAUAAAACUGGUAAAUAGAAGUUAUAGUCUAUAUAGGAAUAUAGAAUACUUUAAAGUUUAAGGAUAUCUUUGAACUGUAAACCACCAAAUUAUAUUUAUAAAUGGUAGAGAUCAUAUUCUUAUAACCAACAAUGAAUAUAUAAUACUUUUUUACUUCUAUACAUUAAUACAUGUUAAGCAUAGUUUUGUCUUCAUAAGCAUUUAUUUAAAACUUCAGGUGGAUAGUUAGGGUUGUAGUUCAAUGGCAAAGCACUUGCCUGGUUCCAUCCCUAGCAAAACAAAGAAAAUAUUCAGGUGGGCUUGGCUACUUUCAUGGGACACAGACUUGCCACUUCUGUUCCCCUUAAAUAAGCAGUAACACAGAAUAGUUUCUUCUAGCAUUCAAAGGAUUGAACUGUGAAAACUUAGCAUGAAAAAUAUUACUACCAAGAUUUUCAAUAAUCAAUGAAGUGGCUCACUGAUACAUAGUAUUGAAUCAAGAUGUAAGGGAACAGGUUCAAUGUCUUAGUCAUCAGUGCCUGUGUUUGAUUCUAUGGGCAAAUGUGAGGGAGAGAGGCUGUAAACUGUCCAGACCUUUAGCCAGGAUGGAACCUUCUUAACAUGUGUAACAUAAAGUCCCCAGUGUUGCCUCUUGAUAUGUGGCUGGGUGAAACUGAUUGUCUAAUGGAGACAUUUUAAGAUUGUGGAGAAAUUUUCAAUGGUAUUUGAAUUUUUUUAAUUGAAGGUGAAGAAAUAUAUUUUAUCUGUAGAGCCCAGUUGUGUCCUCUAAAAAGAACUUUCCAGUGUCUUCUGUUUCAUCAGACAUUCAGUGUUAUUAAUCUAUUGACACGGAAGAGUCUAGCACCAGAGCAAUGAAUGAGAAAAAUAAUUUAUUUGUUCAAGCUAGCCUGUCAUAGCAGUUGCACCCACACCCCCAAACAAAUGCAAGCGGUCAGCCUUUUUCCCCCCUCUCUCCUGGAAAAGAUACUAUUAAGACAUGUACAAUCUAAGCAGGUUCCAAUACCGGGCAUAUGAUAGUAUUUUAUGAGCCUUUAAAACAGAAAAACCUGCUGAGUGAUGGUGGCCCAUGCCUUUAGAUUCAGCACUUGGGAGGCAGAGGCAGGUGGAUUUGAGUUCAAGGACACCCUGGUCCACAGAGCAGGUUCCAGGAAAGCCAAGACAACACAGAGAAACCUUGCCUGAAAAACCUUGGGGAAAAAAAAAACACCCUAAAAUCUAUAUGAUUUUAUACAUUAUUCUAGUAGUGAUGUACAAAUAAAAUGUUCAUUUAUUACCUAGUUCUGAGGAGAUUCUGGAAUGUAUUUUUUUUUAAUGACCUAAAGUUUGAGUGUUUUUCUUGUCACCUGAAAAUGUAGGAAAAUGGUUUGAUUUGAUAUCUAGGAAUUUCUUAUCAAGCUUAUGUAAUAUAGAAAAAUCACCCAGAUCUACACUUAAAUUUUUGUUCUUACUUUGAAGUUUUCCAAAGCACAUUUGUAGAAAUUUUAAAUUGUGAGGCCACUGUACUAACAGAUUACCUCAGGAAACCGUGCAAACAAACAAGAAUGUUUACAGAUCCGCACAACUAGUCAGUGCUUUGGCACCGUGAAUUUGAAAGGUAAAAGAGAGAAGUUUUUAUCUAGAAACUGGUUUACAGGGUACCUCUAGCCCCAGUUCUCCCCUGACUUUCCCAUAUUUAAAAUAAUAAAAUUCUGAUGAUGUGCCAAUUAUGUGAAUGCUUGUGACAUAAACAAAUAUACAUCUGUAUUUAAGAUUUGUUGUUUAAUGUUUUAAAAAAUAAUAUGAAGACUGCUUAUGUAGGUGGUCAAGGGGAUGAUCAUAUAUCAACAGAGCUAUUUUACCAUAGUUCUUAGCUUGCAUGUGUGAUUAAUUAGUGAUUUUUAUGUAAUACUUGAAUAAGAUAUCCUGAAGAUAUGAAAUGUCUUCGUGAAAUGUAGCUGUGAAAUGUCACCGCACAUCAAAUUUUUAUAGUACAAAAUAACAUCCUGCCUACUUUCAUGAACUUUAUACUCAGCUUAUUUUUCUGCAUGACAUCUGGUCAUAUAAACCUAAACCAAAUAUGUGCGAUAAAAUCAAGCUUUCAGCUAGCAUCCAUUGCAGUAUUAGAGAAAUGAUUUCUGCAUUAAAAUGUUUUUGUUCAUGCAGAAAUCAUCAAUUGAAAUGUGUUUAAAAGAUGAUUAUUUUUAGGUAUCAGUAAUACAUUCAUGGUAUCAUUCCUUCUCUUUCAUCCAGUUUUACAGUAUUUUAAAAAUAUCUGUGUAACUUAUUGAGCAUUAUUUGAUCAUUGCUGUAUGUAAAAGAUCACAAUAAAUAUUAGAUUCUUAUGUUAAUUGAUUAGGCCUAGAGUUUUUGCAUUAUACAUUGUUAGCAGAAUGUUAAUAAACAUUGUGUCAUUG